rnacentral:rRNA from 1 species
AACGAACGCUGGCGGCAGGCCUAACACAUGCAAGUCGAGCGGACCUUUCGGGUUCAGCGGCGGACGGGUGAGUAACGCGUGGGAAUAUGCCCUUCUCUACGGAAUAGUCCUGGGAAACUGGGGGUAAUACCGUAUACGCCCUUUGGGGGAAAGAUUUAUCGGGUAAGGAUUAGCCCGCGUUGGAUUAGGUAGUUGGUAGGGUAAUGGCCUACCAAGCCGACGAUCCAUAGCUGGUUUGAGAGGAUGAUCAGCCACACUGGGACUGAGACACGGCCCAGACUCCUACGGGAGGCAGCAGUGGGGAAUAUUAGACAAUGGGGGAAACCCUGAUCUAGCAAUGCCGCGUGAGUGAUGAAGGCCUUAGGGUUGUAAAGCUCUUUCAGCUGGGAAGAUAAUGACGGUACCAGGAGAAGAAGCCCCGGCUAACUCCGUG